UACGGAGGGUGCAAGCGUUGUCCGGAUUUAUUGGGUUUAAAGGGUGCGUAGGCGGCCUGUUAAGUCAGGGGUGAAAGACUAUUGCUCAACAAUGGCAGUGCCUUUGAUACUGAUGGGCUUGAGUACAGAUGAGGCUGGCGGAAUGGGUGGUGUAGCGGUGAAAUGCAUAGAUACCAUGCAGAACACCAAUUGCGAAGGCGGCCGGCUAAACUGUCACUGACGCUGAGGCACGAAAGCGUGGGGAUCGAACGGG
rnacentral:rRNA from 1 species